rnacentral:rRNA from 1 species
CGCAUGAGUGAGUGUAGUGUCGUCACGGGAUAUCUAUAUCCGCAGGAGAAGUGUUUCACGCUUGGGGGCGUAGGGUCUUACGGCUCUGUGCCCCCUUAUCCUAGGAGGCAAGUGUCUUGCGUGUUGCAUUUCGGUGCUUUCGCUUGAUCGACCCUCCUAGGCGUACUGAACACCGGCGUGAAUUGCGCCAAGGAACUUGAAUGAAAGAGCGUUCCCCCGCCGUCCCGGAGACGGUGCUCGUGCGGGUGGUUUCGUCGUCUUCAAUAUGUCUAAACGACUCUCGGCAACGGAUAUCUCGGCUCUCGCAUCGAUGAAGAACGUAGCGAAAUGCGAUACUUGGUGUGAAUUGCAGAAUCCCGUGAACCAUCGAGUCUUUGAACGCAAGUUGCGCCCGAAGCCAUUAGGCCGAGGGCACGUCUGCCUGGGCGUCACACGUCGUUGCCCCCCCCAACCCCCUCGGGAGUUGGAUGGGACGGAUGAGGGCUUCCCGUGUGUUCAGUCACGCGGUUGCCAUAAAUACCAAGUCCUCGGCGACCAACGCCACGACAAUCGGUGGUUGUCAAACCUCGGUUUCCUGUCGUGCGCGUCUCAGAUCGAGCAAUUCGUGGACAAUGUGAGUCAAACUGUCGAGCAACACAUCCCUCCCCGCGGCGCGG